rnacentral:tRNA from 1 species
GGACGUCGGCGGGGAUUGACGCCUCGUCAGCUGACGCCUGGAGUGGUGUGUCCACCUGUGCGCGUGCGUGCACGCGCACGACGUCCA